rnacentral:misc_RNA from 1 species
GAUGAAGAACGUAGCGAAAAGCGAUAAGUAAUGUGAAUUGCAGAAUUCAGUGAAUCAUCGAAUCUUUGAACGCAUCUUGCGCUCCUUGGUAUUCUGAGGAGCAUGCCUGUUUGAGUGUCAUUAAAUUCUCAACUACACUGACUUUGAAUUGGUGUGGCUUGGAUUUGGGGGGAAAAUUGUUGUGGGCUUUUUGUAUAGUCUGCUCCCCUGAAAUUGAUUAGCGGUACCUUUGUGGAACUGUCUACAGGUGUGAUAAUUAUCUACAUCUUAGACAUCUGCUGGAAUGCUGCUUUCUAAACCUUACUUGUAUUGACAAUCUUGACCUCAAAUCAGGUAGGACUACCCGCUGAACUUAAGCAUAUCAAUAAGCGGAGGA